AGAAAUUCCGGAGAAUCUCCUUUUAUGGAGUGCCGAAGGUGCAAGGGAAACCCCGAAUCUCUCAGGCAAAAGGACGGAACGCA
rnacentral:ncRNA from 1 species